rnacentral:rRNA from 1 species
CUUGACAUCCCUUGACAACUCCAGAGAUGGAGCGUUCCCUUCGGGGACAAGGUGACAGGUGGUGGCAUGGUUGUCGUCAGCUCGUGUCGUGAGAUGUUGGGUUAAGUCCCGCAACGAGCGCAACCCUUAUUACAGUUUGCCAGCAUUCAGUUGGGCACUCUAGUGAGACUGCCGGUGACAAACCGGAGGAAGGUGGGGAUGACGUCAAAUCAUCAUGCCCCUUAUGACCUGGGCUACACACGUGCUACAAUGGCGUAUACAACGAGUUGCCAACCCGCGAGGGUGAGCUAAUCUCUUAAAGUACGUCUCAGUUCGGAUUGUAGGCUGCAACUCGCCUACAUGAAGUCGGAAUCGCUAGUAAUCGCGGAUCAGCACGCCGCGGUGAAUACGUUCCCGGGUCUUGUACACACCGCCCGUCACACCAUGAGAGUUUGUAACACCCAAAGCCGGUGGGGUAACCUUCGGGAGCCAGCCGUCUAAGGUGGGACAGAUGAUUAGGGUGAAGUCGUAACAAGGUAAGCGUAGCGAG